AUACGGAGGAUCCGAGCGUUAUCCGGAUUUAUUGGGUUUAAAGGGAGCGUAGGUGGAUUGUUAAGUCAGUUGUGAAAGUUUGCGGCUCAACCGUAAAAUUGCAGUUGAAACUGGCAGUCUUGAGUACAGUAGAGGUGGGCGGAAUUCGUGGUGUAGCGGUGAAAUGCUUAGAUAUCACGAAGAACUCCGAUUGCGAAGGCAGCUCACUAGACUGCAACUGACACUGAUGCUCGAAAGUGUGGGUAUCAAACAGGAUUAGAUACCCUGGUAGUCCACACAGUAAACGAUGAAUACUCGCUGUUUGCGAUAUACAGUAAGCGGCCAAGCGAAAGCAUUAAGUAUUCCACCUGGGGAGUACGCCGGCAACGGUGAAACUCAAAUGAAUUGGCGGGG
rnacentral:rRNA from 1 species